CCUGCUGCCGCUGGGGAGCGAUACCGGUUGUCUCCUCUCCCUGAAGAUCACACUGCCGCUGGGGAGAGAGCCAGGUUGCCGCCUCUCCCUGGGGCUCCAACUGCAGUUGGGGAUCUGGGCCAGCUGCCCAGCAUCCCUGUAGGGCCGGUAGAGAGACCUUGGUCCCAUCUCCACCUGCCAUUUGAGGUUCCUCACAGUGCCAGUCUAUGAGAUCACCCAGGACUUCGG